UACGUAGGGGGCAAGCGUUGUCCGGAUUUAUUGGGCGUAAAGAGCGUGUAGGCGGCCAAGCAGGUCCGCUGUGAAAACUCGAGGCUCAACCUCGAGACGUCGGUGGAAACCGUUUGGCUAGAGUCCGGAAGAGGAGAGUGGAAUUCCCGGUGUAGCGGUGAAAUGCGCAGAUAUCGGGGAGGAACACCGGUGGCGAAGGCGGCCCCCUGGUUGGAUACUGACGCUGAGACGCGAAAGCGUGGGGAGCAAACAGG
rnacentral:rRNA from 1 species